UAGCAAGUCGAACGGCAGCACGGGAGCAAUCCUGGUGGCGAGUGGCGAACGGGUGAGUAAUAUAUCGGAACGUGGCCCAGUCGUGGGGGAUAACGUAAGCGAAAGCUACGCUAAUACCGCAUACGAUCUAUGGAUGAAANCGGGGGAUCGCAAGACCUCGCGCGAUUGGAGCGGCCGAUAUCAGAUUAGGUAGUUGGUGAGGUAAAGGCUCACCAAGCCGACGAUCUGUAGCUGGUCUGAGAGGACGACCAGCCACACUGGGACUGAGACACGGCCCAGACUCCUACGGGAGGCAGCAGUGGGGAAUUUUGGACAAUGGGCGCAAGCCUGAUCCAGCAAUGCCGCGUGCAGGAUGAAGGCCUUCGGGUUGUAAACUGCUUUUGUACGGAACGAAACGGUGAGCUCUAAUACAGUUUGCUAAUGACGGUACCGUAAGAAUAAGCACCGGCUAACUACGUG
rnacentral:rRNA from 1 species